AAGAUGUUGAGUUCUUUAAAGGUGUGGAGGACAUUAUUUGGGGGACCUUUACAGAACAUUCAGAAUGUUUAGGGGACCAUACUUUUUUGGAAAUUGUGACGUUCUCAGAAUAACGUUCUCAUAACAUCCUUGGCGGUGUUAAGGACGUUGUUUAGUAACAUUCCCAGAACGUUCUGAGAAGGUCACGAUGUUGAGUUUUUUAAAGGUGUGGGGGACGUUAUUUUGGGGACCUUCACAGAAUGUUAUUUUCUUGUCCUGAAUGUUAGAGACAGAAAGAGCUCAAUCAAUAAAAUGUUACUAAAAUUGGCUUUAUUGGCAGAAAACAUAAAUCAUUUGUCAAACAAUUAAAUUUUUAAU
rnacentral:lncRNA from 8 species